UACGGAGGGGGCUAGCGUUGUUCGGAAAUACUGGGCGUAAAGCGCACGUAGGCGGUGGAGUAAGUCAGAGGUGAAAUCCCAGGGCUCAACCCUGGAACUGCCUUUGAAACUGCUACACUAGAAUCAUGGAGAGGUCAGUGGAAUUCCGAGUGUAGAGGUGAAAUUCGUAGAUAUUCGGAAGAACACCAGUGGCGAAGGCGACUGACUGGACAUGUAUUGACGCUGAGGUGGCGAAAGCGUGGGGAGCAAACAGG
rnacentral:rRNA from 1 species